rnacentral:rRNA from 1 species
AUAUUGUAGGUUGAGUGCAGGGAGCGGCGAACGGGUGCGUAACACGUUGGAAUAUUCCUCGAACUCAGGGAUAACACAUAGAAAUAUGUGCUAAUACCGGAUAGUCCCGAAAGGGUAAAGAUUUAUCGGUUCGAGAGUAGCCUGCGGCCUAUCAGCUAGUUGGUGAGGUAAUAGCUCACCAAGGCAAUGACGGGUAGUUGGUCUGAGAGGACGACCAGCCACAAUGGGACUGAGACAUGGCCCAUACUCC